CGGGUGAGUAACACGUAUCCAACCUGCCGUCUACUCUUGGACAGCCUUCUGAAAGGAAGAUUAAUACAAGAUGGCAUCAUGAGUCCACAUGUUCACAUGAUUAAAGGUAUUCCGGUAGACGAUGGGGAUGCGUUCCAUUAGAUAGUAGGCGGGGUAACGGCCCACCUAGUCUUCGAUGGAUAGGGGUUCUGAGAGGAAGGUCCCCCACACUGGAACUGAGACACGGUCCAG
rnacentral:rRNA from 1 species